rnacentral:rRNA from 1 species
UACGUAGGGUGCGAGCGUUGUCCGGAUUUAUUGGGCGUAAAGAGCUUGUAGGCGGCUCGUCACGUCGGGUGUGAAAACUCGCGGCUCAACCGCGAGCCUGCACCCGAUACGGGCGGGCUAGAGUUCGGCAGGGGGAGACUGGAAUUCCUGGUGUAGCGGUGGAAUGCGCAGAUAUCAGGAGGAACACCGGUGGCGAAGGCGGGUCUCUGGGCCGAUACUGACGCUGAGAAGCGAAAGCGUGGGGAGCGAACAGG